rnacentral:rRNA from 1 species
GACAGAGGAUGCAAGCGUUAUCCGGAUUCACUGGGUUUAAAGGGUGCGUAGGCGGGUUGGUAAGUCCGUGGUGAAAUCCCCAAGCUUAACUUGGGAACUGCCGUGGAUACUAUCAAUCUUGAAUAUCGUGGAGGUAAGCGGAAUAUGUCAUGUAGCGGUGAAAUGCUUAGAUAUGACAUAGAACACCAAUUGCGUAGGCAGCUUACUACACGAUCAUUGACGCUGAGGCACGAAAGCGUGGGGAGCAAACAGG